UGGGGAAUAUUGGACAAUGGGCGAAAGCCUGAUCCAGCCAUGCCGCGUGAGUGAUGAAGGCCUUAGGGUUGUAAAGCUCUUUUGGCGGGGAAGAUAAUGACGGUACCCGCAGAAUAAGCCCCGGCUAACUUCGUGCCAGCAGCCGCGGUAAUACGAAGGGGGCUAGCGUUGUUCGGAAUCACUGGGCGUAAAGAGCGCGUAGGCGGUGAUGCAAGUCAGGGGUGAAAUCCCGGGGCUCAACCUCGGAAUUGCCUUUGAAACUGCAUCGCUGGAGUCUCGAAGGGGGUGGUGGAAUUCCUAGUGUAGGGGUGAAAUCCGUAGAUAUUAGGAGGAACACCAGUGGCGAAGGCGGCCACCUGGUCGAGUACUGACGCUGAGGCGCGAAAGCGUGGGGAUCAAA
rnacentral:rRNA from 1 species